rnacentral:rRNA from 1 species
CCUACGGGAGGCUGCAGUGAGGAAUAUUGGUCAAUGGACGAGAGUCUGAACCAGCCAAGUAGCGUGAAGGAUGACUGCCCUCUGGGUUGUAAACUUCUUUUAUAUGGGAGUAAAAUGUUCCACGUGUGGGAUUUUGUAUGUACAAUAUGAAUACGGAACGGCUCACUCCGUGCCAGCAGCCGCGGUAAUACGGAGGAUCCGAGCGUUAUCCGGAUUUAGUGGGUUUAAAGGGAGCGUAGGUGGAUUGGUAAGUCAGUUGUGAAAGUUGGCGGCUCAACCGUAAAAUUGCAGUUGAAACUGGCAGUCUUGAGUACAGUAGAGGUGGGCGGAAUUCGUGGUGUAGCGGUGAAAUGCUUAGAUAUCACGAAGAACUCCGAUUGCGAAGGCAGUUCACUGGACUGCAACUGACACUGAGGCUCGAAAGUGUGGGUAUCAAACAGGAUUAGAUACCCCAGUAGUC